CAUCAAUGAGAUCCUUCAGAGUGAGUAAGCAGCCCCUGUUCCUUUUGGCACUUGAACAUCUCUUCCUGGGCUUUCUGUGGAUUCCAAGCAUACAACUGGUGAAUGCUUUUACCACCGGUGCCACUACCCCCCUCACCUCAUCAGGCAGGCCUCACAUUUGGGGGCCUCAUCCCAACAGGGGACACCACAGCAACUACAGCUGAGAGUGUCACACACCUUGCGGCACUUACGGGCUCUUCGUGGGACUAGAAGCUAAACAGCAGUGUAUUCAACAGGUCUUGACAGUGCUUCCUGGUGAAUUGCAGACUCUGUUCUCUGAGGGGAGACCCUGCGACCCCGGCCUUCCUGUAGUCCAGUGUUAGAGGAAACCAAACACACCGUUCCCGUAGGGCUCUGGAGGAAGGGCAGGCAAACUUUUCAUUCUCGAGUGAAGUGGACCAGUGGAAAAAGCCACCAAGGGAGCACAACAGGCCUUCAGUUUCCCGCAGACCCCACCGAGCACCUGGUGCGGGGAACUGCGGCCUCGGGGUCUCUGCAGGUGCUGGCAAUGGGGCCGGUAAGGAGCAAGGUGCCCAAGGCCGUUCUGCUGCCCUUUUAGUUUCCGAAUCACCCAGUUUCAAAUGAGACAGACAACGUGAUUCAUCUCUGUUCUGAGAAGCCUUAGAAAUUGCGGUUUUCCCGCGGAAUGGGCACAGUACAUCUCGGGAUGGGAGUUCCAACUGCUUAUGGAAUCCAAAGCACCAUACUGUGAAGUCUCUGUGGCGCAGUCGGUUAGCGAGUUCAGCUGUUAACCAAGAGGUUGCUGGUUCAAACCCACCCAAGGACGGAGUGAGUGACUUUUAACUCAUUUUCGUGUCUUUCCUGCUGUUUAUCACCUGCACAUCUCCUCAUAUAAAAUCUGUUACUUGA